UGCGUAGGCGGGCAGGUAAGUCAGUGGUGAAAGCCUACAGCUCAACUGUAGAACUGCCAUUGAUACUGUAGAUCUUGAAUUCGGUCGAAGUGGGCGGAAUAUGACAUGUAGCGGUGAAAUGCUUAGAUAUGUCAUAGAACACCGAUAGCGAAGGCAGCUCACUAGGCCUGGAUUGACGCUCAGGGACGAAAGCGUGGGGAGCAAACAGGAUUAGAUACCCUGGUA
rnacentral:rRNA from 1 species